UACGGAGGGGGCUAGCGUUGUUCGGAAUUACUGGGCGUAAAGCGCACGUAGGCGGCUUGGUAAGUUAGAGGUGAAAGCCUGGAGCUCAACUCCAGAAUUGCCUUUAAGACUGCCGAGCUAGCAGGUGAGAGAGGUGAGUGGAAUUCCGAGUGUAGAGGUGAAAUUCGUAGAUAUUCGGAAGAACACCAGUGGCGAAGGCGACUCACUGGCUCAUACUCGACGCUGAUUUGCGAAAUCGUCGUGAUCAAACAGG
rnacentral:rRNA from 1 species